rnacentral:rRNA from 1 species
AUACGUAGGGAGCAAGCGUUGUCCGGAUUUACUGGGUGUAAAGGGUGCGUAGGCGGCUUGGCAAGUCAGAUGUGAAAUGCAUGGGCUCAACCCAUGAACUGCAUUUGAAACUGUCAGGCUUGAGUGAAGUAGAGGCAGGCGGGAUUCCCUGGGUAGCGGGGAAAUGCGUAGAGAUAGGGAGGAACACCAGUGGCGAAGGCGGCCUGCUGGGCUUUAACUGACGCUGAGGCACGAAAGCGUGGGUAGCAAACAGGAUUAGAUACCCUGGUAGUCCACGCUGUAAACGAUGAUGACUAACCGUCGGCGAUAGACAGCCGGUGGCCAAGCGAAAGCGAUAAGUCAUCCACCUGGGGAGUACGUCGGCAACGAUGAAACUCAAAUGAAUUGACGGGG